rnacentral:rRNA from 1 species
UACGUAGGGUGCAGGCGUUAAUCGGAAUUACUGGGCGUAAAGCGUGCGCAGGCGGUUUGCUAAGACAGGUGUGAAAUCCCCGGGCUUAACCUGGGAACUGCGCUUGUAACUGGCAAGCUGGAGUGUGGCAGAGGGGGGUGGAAUUCCACGUGUAGCAGUGAAAUGCGUAGAGAUGUGGAGGAACACCGAUGGCGAAGGCAGCCCCCUGGGUCGACACUGACGCUCAUGCACGAAAGCGUGGGGAGCAAACAGG